GAGGACAGGAGUCCAGAUGGUGGGCUGUGAUCCUGAAGUUUGGGCAUCAGUCAAGGCUACAAGGAGAUUACAAGAAAGAAAAAUGACACCUGGAAAAUUAGUGACAACCCUGAAGCAGAUGAGAGAAGUGAGGCACCAGGAACCUGGUGGUUACGUUUUCAAGGUUACACAGCAUCUAAGUGGAAUGACCAGAGAUCCAUGGCUCCUACAUUAAAUAUUAUGAUUAUAAACUCCCAGAUUAUUACUUUCAUUGCACAGUUAGAAGUGUCAACAGAAAAGUCUUUCAUCUUUUUACUUCAAGGCA